UUUUUCAUAUGGCAUCCGAGGAUGCAUAUAACUUAUAGUUAACACGCAGCAUUUCCCCUCUGCAGAAUUGUGGCCUCAGCUUGGUGCCUGCCCCUGCAUUUUAUCCUGGCCUGUCGUGCUCAAAGCCUGGUUGAACCCUUCUCCUUCUGCUGCCCCUGCUUUCCCAGGCAUAUUGCUCCAAACAUAUUACAUGUAGCCGUAAAAAAAUGUUUUUUUUUUAGUUCAUUUAGCAAAUUUGUUGAUUUCGUAAGCCUCCCAUGGGGAAAAACCCUAGAAGGCAAAUGUAAUGCACAUAAUUACCCCGAUCCCCCCCCCCCCCCAUCCACACACACUCCAACGUGCCCCAAAUGUUAAGCUGUAGGUCUCACAGGGCAGUUCAGAAAUCAUGAGACAGCUUUGCUAUGUAAGUUACAAGUUGUUUGGCUGUUUGGGUAUGCUGACCAGAACAUUUGAGGACUGACAGUUUCCUUCUAAAUUUCAGACAGCUUAUGAAGCACUGAGGUAAGUCUAUUUGAACAUCUGAAAAUAAAACAGAAUGAAAGGCAUUAAAGAUUAACCACGCAACAAAACAUUUACUUGGCCACAGGAAUCCCACACCCUGAAAUGGUAUGUUUUGUGGAAGACAUAAUUUGUCACCUGGCUAGAAAAAGUUGAAUGAAAGUCCUGAGCUUUUAUUUCUGUCCUAUACAGACAGUGCAUUUAAUUUAAAUGGAAUAAUCUGAAACAGAUUUCCUCAUUGUCUCUGUUGAAUUUUUUACAAUACUCUCUCGUCACAAACGCUCUGUAUCCUCUAUCUGUUUUUUAAACGAAAUGCAUUUUCUUCACAGAAAACAAAGGCUAGCGAUUACUUGAGUACCAAGAAAAGAAAAGAAGCGAGAGGAAAGUCGUUUUGCUCCCUGCCUGGUGGGGAAUCCCUCCCAGUCUGUAAUCUGACACCUCAGACUCCCCCAUCUCUCUGUACACACAGCCACUCACACUGCCAUCAUGUCUAAUUAGAGCCAGGGAGCUACUGUCACGCACGGCCCAGAGAUGGAGGAAGGAAGGAGGAAGGGGAGGGGGGAGAACGGAGGCACAAGGGGUCCAAAAGAAUGUUCGCCCCGUGACCCUCGCUCAACUCUGCACAACGUGCAUGCGAUCGACCACGCCACCCUGCUCUCGUUUCAUGCGACUCAACCUUCCCCCUUUCAAUGAACCUGCUCGAUUCAUCCUGGGGAAGCAGACCAAGGUGAACUAUCCACCAACAGCCAUAUUGUGCUACACGCUCUUGGAGGACCUAUGCAAAACCAAGCUGUGGUCCUCUGGAGGCCUACUGGCAGUAGACACAUUAAUUAUUCAGCACUUGGAAUUUUUUAUUUUGAGUAUUCACCAUACACCUUCAAACCGGUCUCCUUGAGCUUGUUCAUGGUGAACUCUGCUUGACUCCGAAUUUUCAUGUGCUGUAUUGCAAACGUAAUCCACCAUGAUCGACAAGAAGAACGGCAGAGCCAGUGACUCCUACACGCCACCUUUCCCCCCACUACACACAACUCAUGACCUGAAACAACCUGACAUUUAAGCUGGGUCAAGCCUCCGGGACAACAUGAUAAGCACUCAAGUGUCUGCUGUUGACCUCUUGACUUACUGAGAGCCAAGUACAUGCUGUACUAUAGAGCCUGGUUUUGGCUUGGGAAAGACUUUGAAAGGUCCCCAGCUGUCAUAAGCGAGGAAAUUUAUUGGAGUUCAGAUUAUUAUGAGAGUCACUUGUAAAUCAAACAGGAAAUGUUUAAAUCACCUGAUGUUUUUUUAAUAUAUUUUAGUAAAUGAUCAUGUUUAUACAGUAUUUGCAACAAUUUGUACAUAGGU